rnacentral:lncRNA from 1 species
UUCAACCAUUAUUUAAUAAUUAACAGCUGAUCACAACAAGAAGUGGGGGCUAGGUCACCACUCUUUCAAGAAGUUUAAUAGAACGAUUAAGGAGGUAUUUGGUAGUUGGAAAGGACAGUGAUUUUAAGAACAAAGAGGGAGCUUGGGCAUAUUUACAGACGGAGUGGAAGGAUUCCAUGGAGACAGACUAAAUGCAAAAAACAAAGGGAUAAUUAUGAACCAUAAUUAUCACUUGGGUCGGAGUAGAUGAGGGGGGAGUUAGUCUUAAAGGGGAGUGGGGUAAUUUCUCAUCAAAAUCAGAAGGAAUGAAGACAGAUGGGUCAGUGGGCCCACACAUUUGG